UUCCCGACCUGUGCAGCCUCGGAUGACAGUUGUCUUCGAGAAUGAUGGGGAGGGGUCUUCAAGCUACUGAGGCCCCAGAAAACUUCUGUACCUCCCCCCCAACCCACACAGACUUAAUAGCAUUGUCUGGAAGGGAAGGAAAGAUAUCCCCCACUUUCUUCCCCCACAUUUGUGUGUAACGUGUUAAUUUGUUAAUAACACAGGUAAACCAUUUCACUCUCUGAAAACCAGGUGCCAGAGCUCUGAGCACCUACUUAGUGGAAGGAAAGAGAAAAAGGGAAAUAAAUUAUAACGUGACCCAGAAAAAAAAAA
rnacentral:lncRNA from 1 species